UACGUAGGGUGCGAGCGUUAAUCGGAAUUACUGGGCGUAAGGCGUGCGCAGGCGGUUCGUUGUGUCCGAUGUGAAAGCCCCGGGCUUAACCUGGGAAUGGCAUUGGAAACUGGUCAGCUGGAGUGUGGCAGAGGGGGGUGGAAUUCCGCGUGUAGCAGUGAAAUGCGUAGAGAUGCGGAGGAACACCGAUGGCGAAGGCAGCCCCCUGGGCCAACACUGACGCUCAGGCACGAAAGCGUGGGGAGCAAACAGG
rnacentral:rRNA from 1 species